rnacentral:tRNA from 1 species
GCCACUGUAGCUUAGUUGGUAGAGCGCGUGAUUCGUAAUCACGAGGUCGGGAAUUCGAGUUUCCCCUGUGGCU